GUGUCAGCAGCCGCGGUAAUACGAAGGGGGCUAGCGUUGUUCGGAAUUACUGGGCGUAAAGGGCGCGUAGGCGGCUCUGUGCGUCGGGCGUGAAAGGCCUGGGCUCAACCCAGGAAUGGCGCUCGAUACGGCGGAGCUCGAGUGUGGGAGAGGAUGGUGGAAUUCCCAGUGUAGAGGUGAAAUUCGUAGAUAUUGGGAAGAACACCGGUGGCGAAGGCGGCCAUCUGGACCACAACUGACGCUGAGGCGCGAAAGCGUGGGGAGCAAACAGGAUUAGAUACCCGUGUAGUCC
rnacentral:rRNA from 1 species